CGGACGGUACUGGUGAAGGAGGGUAACUGGAGCGGAGUGUCCGGGAGUACACCGCAGUCCCAUCUGACGCUUGCUGCUGCCGGAGCACGGAGCGCAAGACUCCGGUUCCCGUGUGCUUUUUGAGAGCGGGAAACACAACAAACCCACAACAAGAUCAGCCGACUAAAAAGAGACAGAGAAACCCAAUGUCGGAGGAACAGAAGAAGAGAAGAGGGAGACUGACCGACAGAGAGGCCAGACACGAGUAAACGUUAUGCAAGCUUUUCAGGAAUAGCGUGAACUGAAAGAAAAAGAAGACUGCAAAUCAGACGCCGACUCGGCCGUGUUGCUUUUGAAAUUGAAAGUACCCUUGGGUGAACUUUGUCUUAAUGGUGUUCUUGAUGUUGAUAGUCUCUGUACAAAUGUGUUUGCUCAACCAUUUUGUUGUGAGCCCUGUAAAAAUUGUUUUCUCGACCGUUUUGUUGUGAGCCCUGUAUGUUUCUAGCUUGCUUGGUUGCAAC
ensembl:lncRNA